UGAGAGGCAAGAAGCAGCGGGUAGCACUUUUCUCGGUAUCAAAGAGACGUGAAACUAGGAACUUCCAGUUUCCCAAGACGCAACAUUGAAUUCAAUCAGAGGUAAAGAUUCUGGACUAUUGGAUUAAAUGAGGAGGCAGGAGCUACUAUCUCUUGCAGUGUGAAACCAGGGCCGGGGAUGAAGAUAUGGACACAUCUCAGCUUUCCAGGGAUGCUGUGAUGUGGGUGAGCAUGAGCUUUGUCUAUGGGCUGAAUUGCAUCCCUCCAAAAUUCAUAUGUUAUGGUCCUAACCCCUAGUACCUCCGAAUGCGACUGUUUGGAGAUAGGGUCUUUAGAGAUGUUAUUAAAUUAAAAUGAGGUUAUUAGAGUGGCUCCUAAUCCAAUAUGAUUGGUAUCCUUAUAAGUAGAGGAAAUUUGCACAUGGCUGGGUACAGAGAAAAGUCUAUGUAAAGACUCAGGGAGAAGACCAUCUAAAGCCAAGAAGAAAGCCUUCAGAAGGAACCAACCCUGCUGACACCUUAAACUUGGCCUUCUAGCCUCUAGACUGUGAGAAAAUAAAUUUUUGUUGUUUAAGGCAUCUAGUACUUUGUUAUAGCAGCUUGAGCAAACUAAUACAAGUUCCAUUUGUAGUAGAAGCUAUUAAACAUCAUUACAUAGUCUAUGUCUGCACUCAACAAAGACUGGUUCCCACCAUUAAGACAAGCUGCUCCUUCUACCACUUGGGAGGAAAUCAGCUUAAGGAAAGGUGUUAGGUGAGUAACAGUCAGGGCAAGGGCCCCUAGAGUAGGGGCAGGGGAGAGGGCAGUGUGUGAAAGGAAGGGCUAAUUUUUUUUCUUGAAGGGCUAGUUUUUUUUUUCUUUUUUUCCCCCUAACAUUUUGUUUUUCUAAACUGAGGGCUUUUUUUUUUUUAAAAAAGAAAAUCCUUUAUUGCCUUCUUAUUACAAGAGCUUUACCUGUUCAUUGUAGAAAUAUUAGGAAAUACAGAUUAAAAAAUGAAGAAACAAAAUAUAACUGUGAUCUCACCACUCAAAGGUAACUGUUCACACAUUCUUGUAAAUCUUUCCAGACUUGUUCCUAUAGAUACAUGAAUUUAUAUAAUAUAUAUAAAUGGAAUGAUUUUUUUGUUAUCAUCUUUCUGUGUCAAUAAUUUUUAAUUUAGAGCAUCAUUUCUAAUGCCUGACAUUGUUUCAUUGUAUCUAUUAUAUCCUAGAAAUAGAAUUGGUAGGUGGGAUGUGUCUAGGCUUAGACAUAUGUAAAGACUUUUAAUAUAUUUUGCCAAAUUGCCCUCCAGAAAGGAUGUACCCAUUUAUAUUCAGCAAGCCUAUUUUGAGUGCAACAUAAAGCCCUGUCACUGGUAACUCUUGACUCAGCUGCUCAAGGGCUUUCAGCCAAAAUCCUAGGAGGAGAGUGAGGAAACUAGAGGACACUGAAAAGCUGUGCCACAAGUGACUCAGAUCCUGCAAGUGGCUCGAUGGAGGAGUGUCCCGUGUUGGUGGCGGAGGUUUUUCCUUCCUUAGCACAGGACAGGCUGCGGGGAAGCAUGGCAGGAUCAGCCGUCUUGCGCCCAUAUGGGACCUGCAAGCUCCGCCAGGAGGAGCCACGUCAGUGCAGCCACUAGGGGUCGCCCUGAAGAGCAUGGCACCCACAGGGGUGUGGAGUGAGGCGUGAAGAGGUGACUUGUGUUGCUCACUUGAGCGUGGAAGAGAUAUCCCUGAGGACCUUUGAGUAAGCUGAGAGGGACCCGUGGACUGCGGUUCCAGGGACUUCACUGCAGGGAUCCUCAGAUCAUUGUGAUUAUGACCCCUGGUUGUUAAUUUUAUUCCUCGAGCUUUGAGGGCCUGGGAAAAUACACGUUAUUUAGGAAAAGGGAACAGAAGGACUGAUAGCCUUUGUAGUUUUUAUGCAUUAAUGGGAAAUGCUAUUUGAUUUUGGUUCCUUGCCCAGUAUAAGAGAUCCCAGGGGGCCUAGUUAAAAGGAAAGCCAAGCUUAUCUUAAAUGAAAAAUAAAAUAUUUUAUUUUAUAAACA
rnacentral:lncRNA from 1 species